ensembl:lncRNA
UAUAAAUCCUACAUGUAAUACCUUUUUAAACAAGCGACAAGCAGAGAAAAGCCUGUCAAUAACCAUAUUAUUAUUAAGAGAUUACGAUUAUGAUGCUUCAAAAUAUAUUAACCAUUCAGAAUAAUACAAUUCAACAGUGCGGGCUACGGUACAUUAGAAGAUUCUCCGAAAAAAACGAAAUGAGUGGCUUCCCAAAGUGGCCACUAGAUGGAAGCAAUGCGCUGUAGGGUCGUCAAACUAACUUGAAGCAUGAAGAAGAAGCUUAAAACGAAGAAGAAGAAUUAGUUAUAAGCAGCAGAACUUGUGGAGGACAUCGGUGCACCGAUGUUUGCUAGAACUCCUAUUAAGUUGAUUUUUUAGUUAUUCACCAGGUUGUACAUUAGUGUAUGCAGGUUGUGCGAUCCGGGAUUAGAAGAAUGACUUCAUCUUCUCCACAUCAUGUCAUCUGGGCGUCUGAUGGCUUGGUGGCCUACCUUCAUCCCUGUCCCUGGACCCCAGGGUCCGUCAUCCUGGAGAGCAGCACCUCUGGCAGCCUGGGAGGCAGCAUCUUCCACUUGAAGAAGCAGGAGUUUUUAUCUUGGCUGUUGGGGGCCAGAGCCGUCGCAGAGCUUCUGUGUGACAGACUAGCAGUUCGUAGGUGUGCCCUGGUCAGCAGACCUCACAGAGACUCACCAGCUCAGAUUCGUAUUCUCCCAUUACAUGGUUUGGAUUCGGAGUGGCGGCCUCACUUGGCAGGAGAUGAGGAGCAUAAUGCCUGUGACCCAGGGUACUGCACCUCCAAGACCGCUCCGAGGUGGAGUGAGUCUCGCCUGAAUGAGAUCCAGGCCAAGAUUCGAGCCAAGCUCCCAUUUCCAGAUGCUCCACACGACCUGACUUUUCUUGGGGAUGAUCCAGCUCAUCCAGGAUUGUUUUCACGCAUCGUACGUGGAGAAGAGCAGCAGUGGCGUGUGUGGGAAGAUGAGGCUCAUGUUGCCUUUCUCACUCCUUUUCCCAACACACCUGGCUUCACAGUACUAGUGCCACGGCAACCUUUGACCUCUGAUAUAUUCAGGUUAGAAAAAGGUGACUAUGAGAGGAUGGUGCUGGCCUCAUGGGAGGUAUCAAGGCUACUUGAAGCUGGGUUAGGUUCCUGUGGUACGGGUCUUAUUUUUGAAGGUUUUGAGAUUGACUACGCGCAUGCCAAACUGUUACCCCUCUUCCCACCUUCAUCACCAGAGAUUGGAGUGGGUGACACUAGAGCAUCUAUUCCUCAGUGUCACGCCAUUUACCCAGGUUAUGUGACAUCAGAGGAUGGACCCAAAGCCAGCCCGGAGAGUUUGAAAGAGCUACUCAUAAAAAUUACUCAGACUUGAUGCUGUUGUUUGUAACUGUGGCAGAUUUCAUUUAAUGUACUUCAGAACACUCUGCAGUGUGAAAUUAAGCAUUUUUUUAAAUGCACAUUGCCUGGAGGAUGUUCUAAGAAUUCAAACAUUCCAAAAUAAAUUGUGAGGCUACAAUUGUCAGAUUAUUUAUUUUACCAGUUGGAUCAGUUGAUCAUGUGAUAUUGGCCAACACACUAGUUUAGCUUUAAAAAUGAUCGAGAAGAAAUGCUGAAUUUCCAAUUUUGCUCAAGUUGCCACGUCUUGUGUCUUCUCGGUGAAUCUGCACCUACACCCAUCCAUGAACUCCAUCUUGGUGAGGUAGAGGAGUGGCUCAAUGCUGCAGCUCAGAUCCAUGAUUGAGAAGACACUGGUGCGGAUCUGGCAGUUGAACUCCACAAAUGUGUAGUAUGACGCAAAGGGCAUCAGAGCCACUGGCGGGAGGUAGUUGACCACGAUUAUGGCCAGGAUGGUGAGCACCAUCUUGAAAGCCUUCUGCUUUACUGGGUGCCUCGCACCAUUUCCUGCCACUGUACGGCGAAGGACCCAGAUGAUGGAAAUGUUGCAGAAAACCAUGAUUGUGAAGGUGAAUAGGAUGGCGCCACUAAAAACGCUGUUGACGCUCUUGGAUCCAAGGAUGCACUUGCUGACAGCGUAAGCCAGGAUGAGCCCCCAGACCACAACACAAAUGCCAGUACGAAUCCGAUUGUCUCGGAUGCCAGAGAACAGUACCGGGUAGACCACUGCUGUGUAGCGAUCCAAGCAGAUACACACCUGUGACAGCAGAUCAGUAAAUACAUUAACUUUUGUUUUGCCCGUGUAGGAA